rnacentral:rRNA from 1 species
AGCGUAAUAGCUCACUGGUCGAGUCGGCCUGCGCGGAAGAUGUAACGGGGCUAAACCAUGCACCGAAGCUGCGGCAGCGACACUAUGUGUUGUUGGGUAGGGGAGCGUUCUGUAAGCCUGCGAAGGUGUGCUGUGAGGCAUGCUGGAGGUAUCAGAAGUGCGAAUGCUGACAUAAGUAACGAUAAAGCGGGUGAAAAGCCCGCUCGCCGGAAGACCAAGGGUUCCUGUCCAACGUUAAUCGGGGCAGGGUGAGUCGACCCCUAAGGCG